GGCUGAACUACCCGACGCCGUGAAGGGGACAAAGAGGGUUCAACUUACUAGCUAUGUGUGUAGUGCUCCUUGAUGGGUGGUAAACAGGUUCAUCACACAAUUACGGAUAAACAAGGUUUACUGGGAGAGCAUAACUUGUGUUACAGCUGUAAUGAGAUAUACUCUCCAAGAUGGUUUUACAAGGAACAUGUGAAUGUAGACUUA